UGUUGAGAUCUUAUAACCCAUUUUGUCUUGCAUACCGAAGGCAGACAAGUGUUCAAGUAUAGGUAAAAAACAAUCGAAAUCUGGCGCUGUUUGACAUCAAUGACAAUGCGCCAAUGUUUGAGAAAGACAAGUACACAGUGAAUGUAUUAGAGGCAAGCCCAGUUAACAGCCUGGUGAUCCAGGUCAAGGCCGUGGAUGCAGAUAUCUCCUCUGAAUAUAGCUAUGUUUUGUACAGUAUUGAG